rnacentral:lncRNA from 1 species
AGUUAUUCAUCUUCCAAAAAACCUGCUGCUGAUCAAAGAAUAAAUUUUGAUAUCAAAGUCGGUGGCCAAAUCAACAACAACAACAACUCUGUUUCUCUUGAAAAAUCCCCUGUUUCUGAUUUCAACAAUCAUGCUUGGAAACACAUGGACAACAACAACAACAACAUGUUUGGUGUUGUUGAUGUUGGUCUCAAUGGUGGUUUCAACAAAGGAAUUUAUUCAAAACCAUCUUAUGGUAAUUUUAAUGCUAACAACAACUUGAAUAAUAUCAAUUUCAAGGGAAACAAUGUUGUUGGUGUUGGUGUUGAAGAUGAG